rnacentral:rRNA from 1 species
GACGAACGCUGGCGGCGUGCCUAAUACAUGCAAGUAGAACGCAGUUGCGAACGGGUGAGUAACGCGUAGGUAACUGCCUGGUAGCGGGGGAUAACUAUUGGAAACGAUAGCUAAUACCGCAUACUACCAGAUGGACCUGCGUUGUAUUAGCUGGUUGGUGGGGUAAAGGCCUACCAAGGCGACGAUCAGUAGCGGGUCUGGGAGGAUGAUCCGCCACACUGGGACUGAGACACGGCCCAGACUCCUACGGGAGGCAGCAGUGGGGAAUUUUGGACAAUGGGCGCAAGCCUGAUCCAGCCAUGCCGCGUGUCUGAAGAAGGCCUUCGGGUUGUAAAGGACUUUUGUCAGGGAAGCGGUACCUGAAGAAUAAGCACCGGCUAACUACGUGCCAGCAGCCGCGGUAAUAC